rnacentral:snRNA from 1 species
UAGUGUUAUGGCUCUUUUAGAAUUUGUCUAGCAGGUUUUCUGGUUUUUAUUGGAAGACUCCC